GAUCAUGGCUCAGGAUGAACGCUAACUACAGGCUUAACACAUGCAAGUCGGAGGGGCAGCGGGAUUGAAGCUUGCUUCAAUUGCCGGCGACCGGCGCACGGGUGAGUAACGUGUAUCCGACCUUCCGUACACUCAGGGAUAGCCUUUCGAAAGAAAGAUUAAUACCUGAUGGUAUCUUAAGCACACAUGUAAUUAAGAUUAAAGAUUUAUCGGUGUACGAUGGGGAUGCGUUCCAUUAGGUAGG
rnacentral:rRNA from 1 species